rnacentral:rRNA from 1 species
UACGGAGGGAGCUAGCGUUGUUCGGAAUUACUGGACGUAAAGCGCGCGUAGGCGGCUUUGUAAGUUAGAGGUGAAAGCCCGGAGCUCAACUCCGGAACUGCCUUUAAGACUGCAUCGCUAGAAUCCAGGAGAGGUGAGUGGAAUUCCGAGUGUAGAGGUGAAAUUCGUAGAUAUUCGGAAGAACACCAGUGGCGAAGGCGGCUCACUGGACUGGUAUUGACGCUGAGGUGCGAAAGCGUGGGGAGCAAACAGG